UAAACUCUCUGUCUUCCAGACACUUCUCUCAACUGCUCCUCCUUCUCUCUAGAUUCUCUCACUUUAUUUUCCAUGAUUCUUCGGUUUAAUCUCAAAGUUUUCAAGAUCUCCCUUGAAUUUUCAGCUUUCAAUACAAUAUCUGGAGUGUAUUGGCAUCCCACUUAUAUGAUAAUCCUCUUCUCGAUACGAUUGCAGGUUUAUGGUUUGUCCUGGUUGGUCA
rnacentral:lncRNA from 1 species